GACAUCUUAAAAAUGAAAAAUAUUAUAGAUAAUCUCAAUGUUCCCAAGUACAGAUGUAGUUACUGUACUGCCCAAUCUCACUUUAUAAAAAAGGCUGGUUAAGGUAAUUUCAUAAAAUACAGAAAUUCAUAAAUACCAUUGCUGUCUUUCCUCUUUCUGAAAUUUCGCACAUAUUAUUCCUCUACCAGUUUACCUGAAAUACUUGCCACUUCCCCUACCCACACCCCACUAUUUACCUGCUAACUUUCAUUUCUAAGGCAGUGUUCCUUAGACUAACUUAGAUUCUCCCACUAUGUACUCCCUUAGCACCCUUUACUUCCCCUCCUCAACACUCCUCAUACAUCAUAUGUACUUGUUUAUGUCAAAAUGUACACUCCAUGAGGGCAGGGACAAAAUGUGUCUUGUCCUCAGCUUUAGCCAGAGUGUUUAUCAAGGUGCCAGGAUAUGGAAGACAUUCAAUAAAUAUUCAUUAGCUAAAUGAUUGAAUGAUUGAUUGAACAAAGGUGGUUGAAAACACUGGCCUAAUUCCUGGUCAAACAGCAGGUUGUCAAUAAAUAUGCAUUGAGAGAAGAAAGCAAUGGAGAAAUGGAGACUGACAAUCAGAGUUGUGCUGAGAUAGAAAGGAAUGAAGAUAAUGCACUCAACUGGAUAACCCCCACCUUCUCAGAGAAGUAGAGCCUUCAGAAAAUACCAAGGGCGUAAGGGAAAAGAAAGAAGCAUGCAGAAGGCUUGGUCUAGCUCAGGGCUGCAAGAUGGUUUGGAGAGGAAAAAGGCUGAAAGACUUUAAAGGUGGAGGAAGGGAACCAUGAGCUAGGGAACACAGCGGCCUGUAGAACCUGGGAUCAGCAGUCAGACAGCCAGCAAGAAAACCAGGAUCUCAGCUCUACAACUGCAAGGAACCAAAUUCUAUCAACAACCCCACAAACAGGAAAUAAUUCUCCCUUAGAGCCUCCAGAAGGAACACAGCCUGCCAGCACCUUGAUUUUGGGCUGGUGAGGCCCAUACCAGACUUGUGACCCACAGAACUGUAAGAUAAUAAAUUGUGUUAUUUUAUGGCA